UCGAGCGUCAUUACAACCCUCAAGCUUCGCUUGGUGUUGGGCUCGCCCCUUGCGGGCCUGCCUCAAAAUCAGUGGCGGCUCCGUCCGGUCUCAAGCGCAGUAAUGCUCGUCGCUUGUCAGGCUUGGGCGGUCGCCUGCCAACAACCCCCCAUCUUUACAAGGUUGACCUCGGAUCAGGUAGGGAUACCCGCUGAACUUAA
rnacentral:misc_RNA from 1 species